GACGGGGCCCGCACAAGCGGUGGAGCAUGUGGUUUAAUUCGAAGCAACGCGAAGAACCUUUACCAGGUCUUGACAUCCCGAUGCUAUUUCUAGAGAUAGAAAGUUACUUCGGUACAUCGGUGACAGGUGGUGCAUGGUUGUCGUCAGCUCGUGUCGUGAGAUGUUGGGUUAGGUCCCGCAACGAGCGCAACCCCUAUUGUUAGUUGCCAUCAUUCAGUUGGGCACUCUAGCGAGACUGCCGGUAAUAAAUCGGAGGAAGGUGGGGAUGACGUCAAAUCAUCAUGCCCCUUAUGACCUGGGCUACACACGUGCUACAAUGGUUGGUACAACGAGUUGCGAGUCGGUGACGGCGAGCUAAUCUCUUAAAGCCAAUCUCAGUUCGGAUUGUAGGCUGCAACUCGCCUACAUGAAGUCGGAAUCGCUAGUAAUCGCGGAUCAGCACGCCGCGGUGAAUACGUUCCCGGGCCUU
rnacentral:rRNA from 1 species